CUCAACACAACUCCAAAUCAACAAGAUCGAAUCCCUAGCUCAAACCCCUUCUCUGCCCCUUUCUUCUCGGCAAACCGGCGCCACGAGGUCACCGAAGACGGCGUGCUUCACCUCGACGCAGCAUCUGGCUGCCAGCUCGGCGAAUUUGCGCUGUUGGGACAGAGGGGCGUCGCCGUGGUCAUCGCCAUCACUGGGGCUCGGCGAAUUCGAGCUAUCGUCGGAACAGAGGUGGAGGCGUCGGCUCCGUGACCCCCUCUCAUCUUUCUCGGCUGCACUGCAGGAACGGCUCAUCAUCACCACGACCCUGUUCGCGACGCCUCCGUCGCGUCGUGGCCGUCGUCGCCUGUAGGCCGUCGCCGCUGCACCCGGGGCUCUCCGCAGCUGUCUUCGCGGGCUUACUAUCGCCAGUAGCCACCGGGGCAGUUUCUUGUCCCUAAAGCUAAGUCUUUCUUACUUAGCUAAUUUAUGACCUCUUUUAGACGAUUUAGCAUUAGGCAGGUUAUGGUGAUUCGAUUCUUGUUCUAGAGCAUCUACGUUCCUGAGCUUUUGUCCCUAAGUUCUCAAACUUGGCUAUCUACUGUGUGUUACAUGAUGCUAGUAUGGUUUGGAGGAUUUACCUCUUGUGAUUGCUGAGUGAGGCUGCUCUUACUCUUGCUCGAUUCCCUCUUCUCUGUCUUGGUUCUUCCUCCCUCCCUUUAGCUUGUUAUCCACUGAAUGAGAAAGUUGAAGUAUAGGGGAGUGGAACGAGGGGGAGAGCAUGUAUAUAUGCUUGGUUUGUAACUGAAAGCUGCACAUAGCUGAGUGUUGGCUGGCAAAGGGCUCCACAGAUUGUGCAGCUGGCUGCUCCCUCUGCAGCUCUGCAGUGCAUACUCUGAGUCCCUGAUUCCUCUUUUCUAACAGAUUCUGAUGGCGUUUCAUGGUAGUGGCUGUACUCUGCAGGGAUUUGCAGGGGUGUACUCGUGCAUUUAAUGGCAUUGUGGGGGCUGAUUCCCGGACUAUAACAGGUUCGGGUGGGGGAAGCAAGGGCUGCUAUCUGCAGCUUUGCAGAGUAUUAGCUGGAGGGGAGCCUGCUGGCUGGAGUUUGCCUCUUUCGGGCCAACUCUCACUCACAUUUCUGAAAGGAACCGAGGCUGUUCUUCCUCGUGGUCUCGUCCUCUCGGCUCGUUCAAAAAUCUGGGGCCGAGACGGCCCUUGACGAAGGCCGAAGUAGCCCUUAGGGAUUUCUAAAUGUAAAAGUGUAGCUCGACUUUUAUUUUCGUCGUCAAAGAUUGUAACUUUAGUUUGAGAUUCUGAAAACUGUAAUUUGUACCCUUUCUCAAGAAAUAAAAAUACUAUUUCAUUCGUUAAA